CGCGUAGGCGGCUUGGCAAGUGGAAGGUGAAAUCCCUCGGCUUAACCGAGGAACUGCCUUCCAGACUGCUUUGCUUGAGUCCGGGAGAGGCGAGUGGAAUUCCCAGUGUAGCGGUGAAAUGCGUAGAUAUUGGGAGGAACACCAGUGGCGAAGGCGGCUCGCUGGACCGGUUCUGACGCUGAGGCGCGAAAGCGUGGGGAGCAAACGGGAUUAGAUACCCCGGUAGUCCACGCCGUAAACGAUGAGUGCUUGGUGUAGCGGGUAUCGACCCCUGCUGUGCCGAAGUCAACACAUUAAGCACUCCGCCUGGGGAGUACGGUCGCAAGGCUGAA
rnacentral:rRNA from 1 species